GGGGAAUUUUGGACAAUGGGCGCAAGCCUGAUCCAGCAAUGCCGCGUGAGUGAUGAAGGUCUUCGGAUUGUAAACCCCUGUCGAAUGGGACGAAAGACCCGGGAGCUAAUCAUCCUGGGAGUGACGGUACCGUUAAAGGAAGCCACGGCUAACUCUGUGCCAGCAGCCGCGGUAAUACAGAGGUGGCAAGCGUUGUUCGGAAUUACUGGGCGUAAAGGGCGCGUAGGCGGCCUACUAAGUCAGACGUGAAAUCCCCCGGCUUAACCUGGGAACUGCGUCUGAUACUGGAAGGCUUGAGUAUGGGAGAGGGAUGUAGAAUUCCAGGUGUAGCGGUGAAAUGCGUAGAUAUCUGGAGGAAUACCGGUGGCGAAGGCGGCAUCCUGGACCAUUACUGACGCUGAGGCGCGAAAGCUAGGGGAGCAAAC
rnacentral:rRNA from 1 species